rnacentral:rRNA from 1 species
GAUGAACGCUGGCGGCGCGCUUAACACAUGCAAGUCGAACGGACAGGCUCUGCUUUUGUGGUUUGCUCGCGUGGCGCACGAGUGAGUAACCCGUGAGUAACCUGCACUUGACCUUGUGAUAACUCUCCGAAACUGGGGCUAAUACCGGACAGGAGCUUUCGCUCCACGGUGGGGGUUGGCCAGUUCCGGUGGUUGGGGCUGGUCUCGUGGGAUGACAGCUUCUUGGUGGGGUCGUGGCUUACCAAGGCUUCGAGGGGUAGCCGGCCUGAGAGGGUGACCGGCCACAGUGCGACUGAGGUACGGCCCAGACUGGUACGGGAGGCAGCGGUGGGGAAUAUUGCACAAGGGGCGGAAGACUGAUGGAACGACGCCGCGUGCGGGAUGACCGCCUACGGGUUGUAAACCUCUUUCGCCUGGGACGAACCGAGGGUGACGGUAAUGGGUCAAAAAGCAGCGGCUAACUACGUG